ACAAGUUGGCUUCCACUUCAAUUCUGAGCAAAGGAUUUUGUAGCAUAAAAACAACAUUCAACACGUGUAUUCGUUAAAAGAAUUACUUCACAAGUCCUCGACGUAUGCCAGAGAGAAUAUCCUCAUUUUGUUUUGUUACGAAAAUAAAUAGAAAGCUCCUUAGGAGUUGAGAGGCUACCUUGAAAGUGGAAAGGUUCGCGCGUUGCCGCUUGUACACCGUGCUCUUGAUAAAUUACAAUAACUCUGAGAUCAAAGUAUCUUUGAAUUAACAUCAAUCUCUGAGGAAAUAGCGAAUUAUCUGCGUCGAAAGCCGACUCCCCGACGUAAUGAGCGAAUUUAUUUGGAAUGAAAAAAUGUUUAUCAGAUCGGAAGAUCUCGCGAUGGCUCCUAUAAGACAGGCCAAAGAUUUUAAUUAACUUCAAGCCUCAAUCAGUGUCUCCCACUUUUAGCGUGAAAUUAUGAGACUAAUCAAGAAUUCUUACAGCCAAAUUUAUUUUUUUGGAUGAUAAUUAUUAACAGGUCUGAAAGCAGUCGUGUUAUGAAAUUAAUAUUCUCCUUUAAGAAAGAAAGGGAAUAAAUUGAUUGGCUAAAUACAAACUACGCCACUACAGACUUCGAUGGUUGCCAAGUGGCCGUCAACUCGUGAACGCGCGCGGCACUGGCGUCCUUGUUCCGCCUGAUGACGGCUGCUUGCUGUCGAAACGGAGCCAGUUUGUCCUCCUGCGGACCAGCUGAGGCUAGGCGACGUUGCACUAACUGCUCCAAUUCGCUAUUCACCACAGCUAUCUAAAAUAAUAUUAGAAGACAAAGUAAACGAAAUACGUCACAACUUCUGGGAAAACCAAAACAUCUAAAUACGAAAGAUCAAUUUCCUAUUCAUUCAUACUGUGGUGUGGGAGUCGAAAACGGAAAAAUGCCAGAGCGUGGGUAGCAUCCUCCAAUUUCUGUCUAUAUACUGAAAUCACGAGCCCCUUUUCAAAUUUAGCUGAUUAAGUAAAUUUACGAUGGAUGCUUUAAAAUAUUUCGUCCCGAACAUCAGGUCUAGGAAAUCAGUUCUAAAAUUUUAAUGUUUAUCGUACUUAG